rnacentral:lncRNA from 1 species
AUCGAGCUUCAUCAACUGUCCCAACAAAAGAUAUUACUCCAUUAUGGAGUAUUUAAAUCUCACAAAGAAAGAAAUUCUUAAAAUAAUAUCAACACUCUUAGAAAUUCCCUCCAAAGACUACAAGAUAAAGUGAAAUAUAUAAAGAAAGAAGUAAAGACUAAAUCUAGAGAAAAGUUAUUUUGCUAGGUACGUAUGAUCUUCCUCCCUCCCUUUCAAUACAAAUAUGACAUCCUUUUUAUAGGAAUCAAAUCUCAUAAGGUGCCAUGAUGCCUCGUGGUUCUUUUGCCAUGAUGCUUGUGCUUCUAUUGCCAUGAUGCGUCGUGAUCUCUUUGUAUUCAUUUAUUUGUUUUAUCAUGAUAUUUGUAAUUCCUGCAAAAUGCUAUUAGAAAAUACAGAUAAUUAACACACACACACACACAUAUAUAUAUAUAUAUAUAUAUUAUUUAAAAUAAUUUAUUUUUAAGUAUAUAAUAUAUGAAUAUUUUAUAUCCAGCAGUUUUGCAUUACAUCCUUUCCUAAUUUUUGUUUUUGCUUAGGUAUCCCUAGAAAACUGACUUGUUUCCCAAGUUAUACCACCAAACUUUAUAGAAUUCUAAAGUGAACCCCAUCUAAAAUGUCCUAGAGGACUCCAUUCAGAUUUUAAAAGAUUCCCUACCCUUGUAUUACCCCAAUUACCUCUCUUGGUAAACAAAAAUUACUAACUAUGACCAAACAGUUUCCAAAAAUUCUAAUUUACCAAUUAUUGAAGAACAGACAUAGUUUUAUCUCUUGUGAACUCCAAAUUAACUACCAAUUACCAAAAGAACACUCAUGAAUGAUUCACAUUAUACCAAAACAAAUUAGAUUAUUAAAGGAAAGAAAACUAACACAAUCUCACUAAUAAGAACAAACAACGAACAGAACCAUGAAAGAACAGAAUCGAACAGCAAAAAUCACCUAAAUAUCAUUUAACAAAAUCUAAAGUGAAUAGCUCAAAAACAAAUGUAAAUGCAAAACUAAUACCUAUGUUCUCCAAGCGAGCUCCUGACUUCAAACUUGAAUAUAUUCCCUUGUUAUGCGGGUAGGCUCCCGACCUCUGAAUUUGGACUUGAAUGUAUUCCCUUGUUAUGCGGGUCGGCUCCCGACCUCUUAACUUGAACUUGAAUGUAUUCCCUUGUUGUGCGGGUGGGCUCCCGGACUUUGAAUUUGAACUUGAAUGUAUUCCCUUGUUGUCUGGGUGGGCUCCCGACCUCUGAAUUUGGACUUGAAUAUAUUCCCUUGUUGUACGGGUGGGCUCCCGACCUUUGAAUUUGAACUUGAAUGUAUUCCCUUGUUGUGCAGGUGGGCCCCGACUUCUGACUUUGAACUUGAAUGUAUUCCCCUGUUGUACGGGUGGGCUCCCAACCUCUGAAUCUGAACUUGAAUGCAUUCCCUUGUUAUACGGGUGGGCUCCCGACCUCUGAAUUUGAACUUGAAUGUAUUCCCUUAUUGUACGUGUGUUGAAUUUGAACCUGAAUGUAUUCCCUUGUUGUACGGGUGGGCUCCCGGACUUUGAAUUUGAACUUGAAUGUAUUCCCUUGUUGUCUGGGUGGGCUCCGGACCUCUGAAUUUGGACUUGAAUAUAUUCCCAUGUUGUACGGGUGGGCUCCCGACAUUUGAAUUUGAACUUGAAUGUAUUCCCUUGUUGUACGGGUGGGCUCCCAACCUUUGAAUUUGAACUUGAUUGUAUUCCCUUAUUGUACGGUUGGGAUCCCAACCUCUGAACUUGAACUUGGAUGUAUUCCCUUAUUAUGCAUGUCGGCUCUUGACUUCUGAAUUUGGACUUGAAUGUAUUCCCUUGUUGUACAUGUGGGUUCCCGACUUCAAAGCUUGAAAUGAAUUCUCCUAUUCUCCAGGCGGUCUUCUGACUUCAUAAAAUAGACAAAACAAAAAAGACUUUCUACCCCAGUUUGGAAAUUGGGUACGUGUUACUGGGCAUUUAAUAGGAAUUGAAUACUAAAACUCGAAUUGUAAUACCUCUGUUUUUCAAGCGGGCUCCUGAUUUCAAAACUUGAAGUAUUCCUCUGUUAUCCAGGAGGGCUCCUGAUUUCAAAAAACAUAUGAAAAUAAGGAAAAUUACCUGCCCUAGUUUGGUAGCUGGGCACAUGGGUGAGUGCUACUGAAUCAUAAACCAACUAUUACUAAGAAUUUGAAAGUUAAAUCCUAUUAUCCAUGGGGUCCUGACAACUUCUAACAAUUACGAACCUAAGUUAUAUCUUCUAAAGUAUUAGCCUCACUACAUCAUGUUUUCAACAGGGACUUUAAACUACAUCCUAUUAUCCAGGAAGGUCCUGACAAUUCCUACCAGUUAUGAACCCGAUUUACAUUUUCUGGAGGUAUUGCUCCCACUAUGUUAUGCUAUUUACAAGGUUUUGAAAUACAUAUUCAGGAAGGUCCUUACCACUCCUAUUUUAAUUCUACCCCAAACAUGUAAACUUUCAUUCCUCAUGUUAUUCCCAAGUAUUCUUGUAUUUUAAUCACAGCACAUUUUGCGGUCAAACCUGAUUACUGCUUGUUUUCCCUCUAUAGAGAAUUCCUUCUGAACAACUAAUUUUCUGCCCUUGUUUCAAUCAAAGAAAAUUUCUUCAGUUUAAAACCGUGGUUAGUUGAUAGCAUUCUUGCUGAACAAUACUUCCCCUGCAUUGCUUUGUUUCCUCUGGCUUCCCUGAACUAUCCCUGAAUCGCUCGACUUUCUAAGCCACUUUCAAAUUCCCCAACCUCUGACAACCUGGAUGUUUCGUACCCCUGUUGUAGUUUCAUACCUCUGAUUCCCUUGUCUGAACCUUUCCACCUAUGAAACUUUCGGUGACUUCUCAUACCCCACUUUACAUCAUAUUGUUGUUUGACAUGCUCUGACCACAUUAUGCUUUAUCAUUUUCGGAAGUUGGUAGUGAGCUUUGAAAUUCUUUCUACUUGCAUUGAACAAAAACUGAAAUUGGAACAUCUUAGAUAGAUAAAAUCCUAAAAGACAAUGAAAUGCAAUGAUUUCUAUGAGUUAAGGAUAAGAAGAAUCCAAAACCAGAUGACUGUUAGAAGGAAAAAGAAGAAAACUUAUCUGACCGGAACAGCUGGCACCAAUGGUCAUGACAUGAAUUUCGGACUAAUAGGUCCAAUCUGUCCAACUAACUAGCUUUCAAUUGUCCUACUUUGUUGCCCAAAAAUUUCUAUCACUCGAUUACUUUACCCAAACCUUGACUUUGUUCAUUCCUGCGAUGCCUUGAAACAGUUUUCCACCCACAGACCUUUUGCCAAUUAACCACUUCUCAACUCACUUUCGCACCAAGGUGCCGGCGAUGGUUUUCACAAAUAAGACUCUCUCAUUUAUUUUUUCCUCUCAGCUCCCGUCGCCUUAUGGUUCAUCCACUCAUCAACUCACUUUCGCCUCAAGGUGCCCAUUAGGGUUUUCGCCAAUAAUACUCUCUCAUUUAUUUUUUCUCUUAGUCUCGCCGCCUUAUGGUGCCUGUGAAGGUUUUCACCAAUAAGACUCUCUCAUUUUUUUACUUUGUUCUUCUUGCUUGGACCAUAGUGUUACCCCUGUCAUGAAUUACUUCAGCCUGCUCAACUUUGCAUUUCUCAAAAACUAAUCAGAAGAUCUUUCUUUGGACCUGUAGUCUUUUGGAUGGGAUAGGAAAGAAGGGGUAUAAAAGGAUCAAAACGAUUUCAAAAUGGGUUAAAAUUACAACUUUCGGAAUCCAAUUUCUUUCAACAGUCACAACUUUUGUCCCAAUUCCUUGUUUGGGGACUUUUGGAGUUUUAUUUUGGUAUGACUGAACCUCGGAGAGGCUGCCUACGUAUCCUUUUGAGAUCAAGUCAAACGUAGUUCACUUAAUAGAAUUUACUUUGUUGUGAACUUUUUUUCUUUCCUUUUCUGUUCUUCUUUCCUUUUCCAUUCACUUUUCUUUUCUUUUUCUUUUGUUUCUUUUCCUAUUUUCUUUUUUUCCCUUCUUUUCUUUUUUCUUCCUUUUAUUUUAUUUUCUUUUUCUUUUGUUUCAUUUCCUAUCUUCUUUUCUUUUUCCUUAUUUUCUCUUUUCUUCCUUUUCUUUUCUUUUCUUUUUCUUUGUUUCUUUUCCUAUCUUCUUUUAAUUUUACUUCUUUUCUCUUUUCUUCAAUUUCUUUCCUUUUCUUCCUUCUUUCCUUUUAUGUACUCGUCUCCGGCACUUGUGUUUCUUAAUUGUGUCAUUGAUUCCGAGAAAGGGGUACGAAAGAAAAUAAGUACGGCUCAAAAUGGGUGACAAAGGAUAAAGUGUUUCAGAUAGCAGAAAAAAACGCCUUCGUCAUUUCAAUCUUUAAAUAUGCCAAGUACGAUCGGAAUAAAGAAAUUAUACAGAGUACCUCUUGACCAUAUCAAAAUUGAUGGCCAUUUCUAAACAUUUUCUUUCCACAUCUGCUAGAUAUAAUGUACCACUAGAAAACACUCUGGUUACCACAAGUGGAUCCUGCCAGUUUUGGGCGGAUUUUCCUUUUGCUUCACCUUGAUGAGGCAAGAUACCUUUCAAUGAUAACUGUCCCAUUUCAAAUUUCCUCGGGCGCAUUUGCUUGUUGUACGCUUUUGCCAUUUUUGUUGGUACAACUGGCCAUGACGCACUAAUACUAAUCUCUUUUCAUUAAUCAAACCCAACUGUUCAAGGCAGAUGAAAUCGUCAUCAUGUUCCAACUCAUUAUCACACUCGAUUUCUUGUAUUAUUAUUCAAAAUAAGGCCGGUUUUCAUGACUGAGCCGAAACAAACUGAAACAAAACUAAGAAGAAGGAAAUACAAUUGCAUUUCAUUGAAAGAAAAGAUAAUAUGGUUUUAACUCAUUCAAACGGACGGAACAUAGUAUCUAGACUACAGACCCUGGAAUAGUCCAGACAAUUUAAAGAAAAACAAGGACCCACUACCAAAACUUCCAAUCACUGACUUUUGACUAUGGUCAGGCGAACUGCGCAUUUGCCUUGCUUGCCCCUUCCUUUACUUCGACCAUGUUUACCUCAGUGAAUAACCUUUUGAACCCAUUUCCCACGUUUUGAUCCACACCAUUCAAUGAUCCAAGAACCUUUAGCGACAGCGGCUUGUUAUCCACCCUGUUCAAUGGACCACUAUUUUCUCACUAGUUGAUUUUUAAAUCAAGUUGGUUUUGCUAGAACAGAUUACCGUCUGUGAAGGUUCUUAGGUUUUCCUCCUUUAUGCGUCAAUUCGAUCACGUGAGCCUCAUGGUGAGCUGGCAACGGAUUCUGGUCAGUGUUGGUGCCUUUAGGGCCUGAACCUCGAUCUUGUUUGUGUCAAUAAGCUCCUGCACAGCAGUUUUCAACCUCCAACAUUUUUCAAUGUCAUGUCCGGAGGCUCCCGAAUAGUAUUCACAGCUCACAGAGUGAUCCAGAUUUCUACGAAGGAGAUUUGGCGUUUUGACUUCAACCGGGGUCAGCAAGCCUAACUGCCUCAGUUUGUGGAAAAGAGUGGUAUAGGAUUCUCCCAGCGGAGUGAAUGUUUUAUUGUUCUGGACCCUCUAAUUUCUGAAAGCUUGGUUCGAACGGAAAUCAGAUCCUAGUUUGUAACCCCUUGGGUGUGGAUACGUGUUUUGUGGAGCUGGAUAUGCACUUUGGGGAACCGGUGCAUGCCAUUGCGGGUGAGCCGGAGGCUGGAUGUAUGUUUGGGCGUGGUGGACGGAAAAGUGUGGCUCUGUUGGUGGAUAGUAGGGUUUUGAAGGGCCGUAUGAGGUAUAUGGGUAAUUUGGGUGGUGGUGUCUGGGUUGGUUAUAGUAUGGUAGAGGGUUUCUGGACCGGGACCAAGUACUCGCUUCCACUGUUGCAACUUCUUCUUUCUUUUUCUUUUCGAGCACACCACCAGUGCCGCUUUGGAUGGCCUGGGUGGUUGCAUUCAAUGCUGAAUAACUCAAGAUUUUGUUAGAUUUCAGACCAUCUUCAAUCAUGGCGUCCAUAUUUACCACUUCAUUGAAUGACUUGCCCACGGACGUCACUAGAUAAAUGAAGUAUGUCGGCUCCAAGGUUUUCAGGAAGUAGUCUACCAUCUCAUUCUCACUCAUCAGAGGAUCCACUCUGGCUGCUUGUUCCCUCCAUCGGAAACCAAAUUCUCUAAAGCUCUUGCCAGGCUUCUUCUCAAAUUACAACAAUGACAGACGAUCUGGGACUAUCUCGAGGUUAUAUUGGAAAUGGCCAAUGAAUGCCUGUGCCAAAUCAUCCCAUGUAUACCAUCGGCUAGGGUCCUGUCUCGUGUACUAUUCCAACAUGGACCCGCUCAGACUUUGAUCAAAAUAGGCUAUCAGCAGUUCAUCUUUUCCUCCAACCCCUCUCAUUUUUUUGCAAAAACCUCGAAGGUGAGCCACCGGGUCGCCUUGUCCCUCAUACAAAUCAAACUUGGGCAUUUUAAACCCUCCAGGUAACUGGAUAUCAAGAAAAGGGCACAAAUCCUUGUAAGUAACACUGACUUGGUUGCCCAAGCCGUGCGUGUUCCUGAAAGAUUGCUCCAGGCUUUUGAACUUUGUGAUCACUUCCUCAUGCUCCGCAUUUUUAACUGGUUUCUCGACUUUUUCCGGGAUCUCAAAGUGAGGGGUAUAUGAGUAUGGCUCAGAAGCCUUAAAAGUGGGUUUAGGAGGGUAGUAUUGGGUGUUAAGGGCUUGGACUAGUGGUUCACCAGAGGACCUUUGUAGUGGAGCAGUAGGAGGGGCCACAAAGAUUGGAGCCACGGGCGUAGGAGGAUUUUGUUUGGGUGGUGGAGCUGGAGGGGCAUAUGAAGUGGUGGCAUACCCUUGGGUGUUAUACCAGAAGGGUGGAAAUGUUUCGGGAGUGGGAGGCUCCUGAUCUUCCACUAGGUGUGGGAUAUACAAUGGGUUGGCGGGGUAUAAUGGUGUUGGGUGCCCCUCAGACCAAGCCCGGUGCAUGGCAUCCAUUUUGGCUUUCAACUUCUUCAUCUCUUCUUUCAUAGCCCCUACAUCGGUCACCUCGACCUCUUUCAUGGGAUCCACAAUACUAGUAUCUGAAUCAUGUCCAGUCAUUUCUAUAUUAUCCUUCGACCGGGUGUUGUACUGGUGAGUUGCCAGAAUUGCCAAUCAACUAACCACCUACCUGGACUCACACAUUUGAAAAAUCACUUUGUUAGCGAUUAGGCUUUAACAGAUUUGAUAACCGCACGUUGGCAUGAAUGCACCUAUACAGUUAAUCAUUUCUAUCGUGCAUUUGUUCGACCACAUGUGUCAUCCCGGCAUUUCAUUCUAUGUUUCUUUCCAUUUUCUUGCUCUAUCCUUUUCUUAUUUUUCCGCUCUUUUCUUUCUUUCUCUUUCUCUUAUUCUCGUCUUUGUUUUCUUCCGCUCUUUUCUUCUUUUCUCUUUUCUUUGUCUUCCCACUCUUUUCUCUUCCUCUUUUCUUAUUUGGUUAUGGUUGAAUCCUAUCUGUACUGUCUAUGUAUUGUGGCCCCACACGAAUCAGACCACGCGUAGUUCGUGCAAAUACAGAUAAACAACAAUAAAAUAUUUUUUGGAAUUUUUAAUUUUUCAUAAUAAAACUAACUCUCACUACAAAUGUUUAAAAACUGACAAACUUAAACUAACAGCCUCUGACAGACUAAAAAACAAACGACCCACAUACCCUAAUCAAAAGAAAUACAAACUUAAAAACCACCAACAGACUUUCCCUGUAUGCCAAUUUUGACCCAAAAUCUGAACGGUAUUCACUUGACCACUGACUAUUUUUCUUGUUUAUUCCAAAGUAAAGUAAAUGACUCGGUAUUGCAAACACGACCUUUCAGCGCAUUGGGCAUGAAUAUUUAAGGCUGUGAGGGUAAAAAUCAAAAUAUGACCAAAGGUGGUUGUUUAUGCAAAGUCAGCCUUCUGGCGUCCCGUUUGGCGACAUUUGGCUAUUUUUGACAAAACGGCAUCGGCUGGUUUAUUUAUGACAAAAAUUAAAAUUUUGAUAUUUGUUUUUGCUAUAUUUGUAAAGGGGGGUUGGACCCGAUGAGGGUUGCCUACGUAUCCCACGCCCUAUGAGAAUCAAACCAUGCUAGUUCGGGCAGAUUAACCGAACUAUUUUAAAACAGGACUCUAUUUCAUUUUCAUUUUUUGGUAUUUCAUAAGCAAAAAUAAAUAAAUAAAAAACUACUUUUAAAAAAAUCUUUUUCUUUUCUUUUUCAACAAACACUUAAAUAGCCUAAAAAUAAAAGACCCCUUUUUCCUUUUUUCAUUUAUAUGGCGGAACAAACUAUUUUUUUUAAUUUUUGAAGCCAAGGCUAAAAUAAAAGACUCUUUUUCCUUUCUCAUUUUUCAUGGCAAAACAAACUAUUUUUCCUUUUCUAUUUUUGAAAACAAGACAAGAUAACGAUUUUUUCUUUUCAUUUUCAACAAACAACCUAUUUUUCCCAAUUAAAAAUAAAGACUUUUUUUCAUUUUUUUAGUAACACAACCUAUUUUUCGAACUAGAAAUAAAGACUCAUUUUUUUCUUUUUUAGUAAAACACCCUAUUUUCCAUUGGCAAAUAAACUAUUUUGAAACAAGAAGAACAAAAAUCAAGACUAUUUUUUUCUUUUCUCAUGACAAAACAAACUAUUUUCAUUUUCCAUUUUUGCAAACAAGACAAACUAAAAAAUAGCAGACUCUUUUGAAUAAAACAACUAUUAAAAAUAUUUUUUUUUAUAUUUUCUCAAAAUUUCGGCAGAUUUUCGCCAGUACUUGGACAUCGAUUUUUCUAAAAAUAUCAAUUAACUCUCCAACUGCUAUUUUUUCUCUUUUUUCCUUUUACUUUUACUUUUUAAUUUUCUAACAUUCCUAAGAUUCAAAUACCGGUCAACAUGCAAGUCCGAACAAAUAAAUGCACAGAAAACAAGUAGGAUGCAUCAGGAUGGUCUUUUCAUUUCAGGUUGCUAGCCCUAGACGGAUCCAACCCCUGUGUUAAGUCCCCUAAGUCAAAAUGCACAUGAGCAUUCCUACUAGGGAUCCGGCAUGAGGUUAAGUUAUUCUAGGUUCAAAACCUGGGUGUUUGUUCUAGACCUGGUUUACCCGAGCGGACAACUUGAACUGAGGAGAAGGUGGCAAUCUGGGAAUACAGAAGCUUCGACGGCUUUGCGACUUAUCCAAAACUCAUUCUAAAUUGGGAUUUGAAACUAGAGAGAAAAGAGGUCAUACACCGUACACCCUUCUUAACAAUUUAGAAGACUUAGAGAGGAGAUGGUUUUGGCCCAGUUUAUAUACAGUUCACAUAAUAUCAAAGCGGUAAAAUUAAUCAAUUAGCACAUUAAGCACAUAUCAUGUAACAAAAUCAGAUAAAUCCAAACACAACAAUUAUUCUAAGCUCGAAUUCUGAACCCUGAACAAAACGUUCUGGGUUCUUGAAUCCAGCAGAGUCGCUAGAGCUGUCACACCUUCUUUUUCGCUAUACACCCCCGCAAAAGGGCGUAAAGGAGUUUUUCCACUUAAAGGGCAAUUGGAACGGGAUUUAUUAUUAUUUAUUCAGAGUCGCCACUUGGGAGAUUAAUGAUGUCCCAAGUCACCAAUUGAAUCCCGAACUGAGGAAAAGGAUGACUCUGUUCACAGUCUGCUAACCAGAAAUUAGGAUAAGGAAUUCUAUUAACCCGGGAGAAGGUGUUAGGCAUUCUCAAGUUUUGUGGUUCUAGCACGUUCGCUCAACUGUUACAUUUAGCUUUUAACUGAUUUUAUUACAUGAAGAACAUAUGUGCCAAUCUUUACUUUUUUUAUCGCCUUUAUUUAAUAUUUAUUUGAGAAAGUGAACGUCGUUUAAAGUGUGUUUUCGGAUUGUGUCGCAUCAAAUGAACCUGCAAUCCUAGACACACUCUAUUCGACGUUUUAGGAUUUGGAUUUGGGCCACAUAAAAUGUCCACCCGUAUUUAGGAAUGUAAUUUAUUAAAGUCACGCCUAAUAGAGUCUAACACGUUGUAAUCUUUUGGGAGGGCCGUGAAAUUCGCUAAACGGCCCUUCCCGAUUUCUAAAACAUAUUAAACCUUUAUUGAGGGCCCCGCAUUUGUUGUUUUUAUUUGGAGAGGCUCAUCUUGUGACGACCCGACCCGUCGUCUCUUAUAUUUCAGCCCCGUUAUCCCCGUUAUAUGUUUCCCCAUGUGUUGACAUGCGUGUUUGGUGAGUUUGAAGAGAUUUGGGUUGGGACUGGAUAGAAAUGAGGCAAAUAGUCUCUUGAAGGAAAGCUUAAGUUAAAAAAAGUCAACCCGAUGUUGACUUAUGAGUCAGAGGUCUCGGAUUGGAUUUUCAGUGAUUCGACAAGUUUCGAAUAGUGAUUUAUGACUUGCGAAUGAAAACGGAAGUGAAGUCAGAGGUCCAGUGUGAAAGUUAGCCUAUUUUGGCGAAGUUGGAAUUUCGAAGAAAUCCGGUUGAUAGGUUAGAAUUUGAUCCGGGGGUCGAAAUGGAAUUUCGAGAGUUGUAAUAGCUUCAUUAGGCGAAUGCGAGUAUGUGUGCAAAUUUUCAGGUCAUUCGGACCUCGUUUGGUUGGUUUCGACAUCGGAUAUGAGUUUGGAAAGUUUAAGUUUUACUUAGAAUGAAAUUCAAUGAUUUUGGAAAGAAAGUCCUUCGGUAAGGUACUUGGAAAUGUGGUAUUUCUGAGAACGUUGGAGGAAGUAUUCAGUGGCCUAUGGGUCAUAAACAGUGUGGUCUAGUGUACGAGUCUCAUGUAGUGAGCCUGGGUUGAGACAUUGUGGUGUUGUAGCAAGAGAGUAUAUCUAGUUGAAGAUGAAUCAGGUGGGAAUAUAGGCAAAUGAAGUAGCUUGUCAAUGGACUGGAUUCGGCAUGGUAAGGGUAUGGUUAGUUCUCCCUGUGUAUUCGAGAUAAUGGAUUAGCAUAUGUAAUUUUUGCGGCAAUGUUCUUAGGUAUUGAAGAUUCUUGUCUCUUGUAGUUAGCCUGGGUUGAGACACUGUGGUGCUGCAACAAGAGAUUAUAUCUAGUUGAAGAUAAAUCAGGUGGGAUUCUAUGCAAAUGAAGUACCUUGUUAGUGGACCGGAUUCGGCAUGGUAAGGGUAUGGUUAGUUCUCGCUGUGUAUUCGAGGUNNNNNNNNNNNNNNNNNNNNNNNNNNNNNNNNNNNNNNNNNNNNNNNNNNNNNNNNNNNNNNNNNNNNNNNNNNNNNNNNNNNNNNNNNNNNNNNNNNNNNNNNNNNNNNNNNNNNNNNNNNNNNNNNNNNNNNNNNNNNNNNNNNNNNNNNNNNNNNNNNNNNNNNNNNNNNNNNNNNNNNNNNNNNNNNNNNNNNNNNNNNNNNNNNNNNNNNNNGCUGCAGCAAGAGAGUAUAUCUAUUUGAAGAUGAAUUAGGUGGGAAUCUAGGCAAAUGAAGUAGCUUGUUAGUGGACCGAAUUCGGCAUGGUGAGGUGCUGAAGGGAGAUGAAAGUUCUCAUGUUAUCCAUGGAGGGUAUUGUGUAUGCGGUAUGUUGUAAAGAACCGAGAUGGGCGUAUGCGAGAUUCCGACUCAGUUCUGAAAGGUAUGGUGGGUUUGCUAUGUCUUAGGUAAUGAGUAGCUUCAGGUAAUCAAGAAUUGGUACUGUUAAUUGGAAGUGAUUUGAUGUUGGCUUAUGUUUCGGAAAGAGGGUAAUUUCGCAAAUGAUACGUCAGAAGUGUUACGGUAUUUACUUAUGGGAUCGACUGUAGGUAUCUGAGUUAUUUGAUGGCAAGGGAGUUUUAGAGUAUCUUUCGUGGAAUAGUUGGGUACUUGAGAUAGAAGUGUUACGGUAUUUCCUUAUGGAUCGACUGCGGGUAUCUGAGUUGUUUGAUGGCAAGGGAGUUUUAGAGUAUCCCUCGUGGAAUAGUUGGGUACUUGAGAUGUAAUCAGUAUCUCACAUUGUGGAAAUUUGGAUCAGGUACAGUGAUUUAUGUGCUAUGAGUAGUCGGAGACUGGGAGUUCUCCGGUGCAGCCUAUGCGGUGAUUGAGGAUUGUGUGUGUUCCAUUGGCACUUUCAGCGGCUAUUGGAAAUUUGGAAGCCGAGUGAAUCUUUCCGUGCUUAGUAUAUUAAAUUCUGGAUAUGAUAUGGGGAUGUAGAGUGAUUGUCUCAGUGUCGAAUUAUUCUAAACAAUUGUGCUAUGAGUCAUGUUGGGAAAUGCCACAGGUUGCGUGGCGGGGUGUAUCAGACUAUGUUCUAGCUAGAGAGUUGUGUUCUAGAGACUAGUGGUUGGCUGGGAAGGAUUGUUUUCCAUAAUUGGGCCUCCGAGGCGAAUGUCAGAAUUGAGGUUUCUACCAUUGAUUUCGGUUCCAGUAUUGAGGGACUUUUUAGAUGCGUCCUUGUGGUCGGGCAUGUCGCCGGGCGAGACUGUGGAUUUCAUUAACAAUUUGGUGUCGGGCACCAUAUCGUAUGGAUCUGGUAUGAGUAUAGUAGUGGAAGUGUAAUUUGUGGCUUACAAUGUUUAUGUGAAUAUCUUUCUACACUCAGUUGCUUACGAGCGAUGUUGGUAUUUUGUUAUUAUGAGCAAUUUGGCUCGAUGUGUACCUCCCUAUGUGAGGCAUGUUGAGUGGAUCGAGUGGCACGCCGCCACGAGUAUGUUAUCUGGAUUGGGUUGCGCGCCGCAACUAUGUGAUGUUGAGAAUAGCUAUCCAUGUGAUGAUUUGUAUUCCUUGCUCUUUGGCUUCUGAGGGAAUGUCCAUAUUAGAAUUACUUGGCGGAUAGCAUAUCGAUUGUGUCCUUCCAGGACGUAAUGGUGUAUAUUACUUGUUUCACCGUGAGUGUGAUGGGUGAUUGAGUUUUGAGCAUCAAUCUGUGCAUGGUUGUCUACUUUGAGCAUGGUAGCACGAGGUGAUUCAUAUGUAAUAGAGUUGAGUUAGGAUCGUGCGUUGUGGCGAGGCCACGUGGAAUUAAGAUCUCUCGAGGAGGAGUCAGGUACUCUAUCUCUAUGAUGUGAGACGGGGUCUCAGCUUGGUUUUGUAAAGAUAUUGAUGAGCUUUAGGUAUAACCAUUCCGGUUGAGUCAUUGGCCCUGAUUUGGGGAAUGUUUAGGCUGAUUCUUAUUGGCGCGUGUAUUAUGCAAUUGUGGCUUAGGCCUGUAUUGAGGUAUCAUAUCNNNNNNNNNNNNNNNNNNNNNNNNNNNNNNNNNNNNNNNNNNNNNNNNNNNNNNNNNNNNNNNNNNNNNNNNNNNNNNNNNNNNNNNNNNNNCGAGGUGAUCAUUGGGUUAUUAAGGAGCAUGAGCAGAUUUGAUUUCAGCGGGUUAGAAGGAUAAUGUCGAGGUUUGACUCGAAAAUCUGUUGUGGUAGUAGUCAACUUGGAAGUGACUUUAUGAAUGGUUGAUCUGAAGAACUGCUGCUAUUCGUUGCAUUAGUUAUCGUUGGAAAUAUGCGAAAGUGUUGGAAUAAGACUUUAGCUGGAUAAGAGGUUUCCUGUGGGUAAUUGUUGUAAUUAGAGAUUAUUGUUCCGAGUGUUGGAAUAUGGUAUAUAUGGUACGAAUUCACUUGAGGCUGCAGGUGUGGGUUAUUACAGCUGGUUCGGAUUGAUUCUGACUAUAGAUGUGAGGUUGUGAUCUUGUAUAUGAUUUCGGGUAAUGUAGUGUGGUUCUGCGGCUUAUGGGCCAGAUGGAUUGUGGAAUUUCAACUGUUUGUAUUUUCGGUACCUGUGUAAGUUAGGGUGACGUGGGAUCACCCCCGGUCAUAUGUCGGGCAGUGUCUUUUGGUUAUUGGGUUGCUUCUAGCACAACUGUGGAUACGCUCGAGGACGAGCAUUUGUUUAAGUUGGGAGGAUGUGACGACCCGACCCACCGUCUCUUAUAUUUAAGCUCUGUUAUCCCCGUUAUAUGUUUCCCCAUGUGUUGACAUGCGUGUUCGGUGAGAUUGAAGAGAUUUGGGUUGGGAUUGGAUAGAAAUGAGACAAAUAGUCUCUUGAAGGAAAGCCUAAGUUGGAAAAAGUCAACCCGAUGUUUACUUAUGAGUCAGAGGGCCCGGAACGGAUUUUUGGUGAUUCGACUAGUUUUGGAUAGUGAUUUAUGACUUGGGAAUUAAUAUGGAAGUGAAUUCGGAGGUCCGGUGUGCAAGUUAGCCUAUUUUGGCGAAGUUGGAAUUUCGGAGAAAUCCGGUUGAUAGGUGAGAAUUUGAUUCAGGGGUCGGAAUGGGAUUCCAAGAGUUGCAUUAGCUUCGUUAGGCAAAUUCGAGUAUGUGUGCAAAUUUUCAGGUCAUUCGGACCUCGUUUGGUUGGUUUCGACAUCGAAUAUGAGUUUGGAAAGUUUAAGUUUAACUUAGAAUGAAAUUCAAUAAUAUUGGUAUUUUUUAUGUUAAAGAUAGCAUUUUUAUAGCCCGAGCGAGUUUGAAUGAGGUAUUAAGGCAUAUUUGUGUUUUUGGUUGAGGUCCCGGGGGCCUCGGGGUGAUAUCGGAUGGUUAAACGAGGAAUUUUCAAGCCUAAAUCUACAUCAAACCUCCAAAUUCNNNNNNNNNNNNNNNNNNNNNNNNNNNNNNNNNNNNNNNNNNNNNNNNNNNNNNNNNNNNNNNNNNNNNNNNNNNNNNNNNNNNNNNUGUUUGUGUUUUUGGUUGAGGUCCCGGGGGCCUCGGGGUGAUAUCGGAUGGUUAAACGAGGAAUUUUGGAGUUAAGCAUCAUAAAUGACUACUGCUUCUCGUAUUUUCGCGGAAGCGCCGGGAGACCGCUUAAGCGGUGUCCACAGAAGCGGACAAUAAGUCGCAGAAGCAUCCAAAAGGAAGUCACAGACCGCAGAAGCGGCCAAAGGGACCGCGUUCGCGGUAGUCGCGGAAGCGGAAGAUCGACCGCAAAAGUGGCCGCUGAGGAAAUGGUCAGACCGCGAAAGCAAUCAAUUAGAUGCAGAAGCGAGGACCGCUGAAGCAGAAAAAUACCGCAAAAGCGGAAAUCCUCCAAUUUUAAUGAUAACAGAGGGUUUAAUAUUUUGAAAAGGAGAAGAACAAUAGAACUUUGGGUUGAGGCGAUUGAGAGAGGUUUUGGAGAGAUUUUCGAGGGGAUUCUUAAGGUAUGAUCUCUUAGACCUUGAAUAUGUGAUUACGGUGCAAAAUCAUGGAUUAAAGACUAAGAAAUCAAGGUCUUUAAUGUCAAAAAUGGUGGUUAGGGCUUGAAACCCAAGUGAACCUUAAAGUGUUGAUUUAAAGGGUCAAAUGGACUCCGAUUCUUGUAAAUUUGAUAUGUAUGGACUCGUGGCGUGACAAGGAUUCUGAAAAUGUGAAUUUUGUAAUUUUUCGAGAAGCGGACCCGGGGCUCGGGUUUUGCUAGUUUCGAGAUUUUUGCUAGUUUUUGAUUUUUUCGAUUGGGUAUUGUCUCAUUGGCAUUUGUGAUGUAUUCGCUCUGUUUUUGUUUAGAUUCGACGUGCGAGGAAGCCGAAUUGAGAGGCAAAGGCGUCGCGAGCUUAAAAUUUCAUCGGUUCGAGGUGAGUAAUGCAAGUAAAUGCUCAUAUAAGGGUUUGAAACCCCUGACUUUCACAUUGUAAUGCUAUGUUGAGGCGUGACACGCACUCCAUGAUAAGUGCGGGGUUAGAUACUAUCGAGGAUUGUAGCUUGGUCCAUCCCGAGUGAGAUUUAUGCUAUAUUGGCGUAUGAUACGCACUCUGUGAUGACUAUUAUUGGGCUUUGUGCCGUGUUUGGGGCCCAGUGCAGACUUGUGAUAUCCUUCGGGAGUUGAUAUUAUUGUUUUAGCAUGAUUGCAUAUCAUUUACUAUCAGCCCAUGGUUUUAAAACAUUUUUUCAAAACCCUGCGGUAUUUCAAAUGUUCAAAACUCAUAUGCUAUAUUUUAAAUGAAUUUCGGUUGAGGAUCAUUCUUUAUAACUGCCCAAGGGGCUUGUGAUGUAUUUUCUAGACUGAUUUUGGGUGGCUCGGGCUGCACACCGCAGUGGUGAUUGGAAACAGUGGUAACAUGGACACUGUGAAAUAUGAGCGGUCAAGUAACAUGGACUGACCUGGUUUUGAUUGUCGCCACGGGAUGGCUGGUUAUUGAUUUUCGCCACUAGAUGGCUGGUUUGAUUAUUCUCCACGAGAUGACUGGUUAUUGCGCUUGGGCUGUAGGAGCCCCUCAGGAGUCUGUACACACCCCCACUGAGCACCGUCGAUGAUAAAUGAUAUGUGGGUUGCUCGGGCUGCACGCUGCAGUGGGUACUGGAUUGUACCAUCAUAUGCAUUGCAUUGCAUCCCAUAGGCGAAGUUGGAAUUGGGUUUUCUUUCUUUCAGAGCUUUAUUUACUAUUGUUACUCGCUGAGUUGGUAGACUCACCCCCUACUCCCCGCACCUUGUGUGCAAAUUCAGGUACUCCAGAGGAUUUGCGUGUGCGGUUGCUGAUUAUUAGUUUGACAGAGUAUUGAGGUAGCUGCCAGCGUCCGCAAGACCCAUGUCUCUGAUUCUUCUAGUUAUUUCCUAGUUAUUCUAACACUUGUAUUUCCCUCAUUCUGACAUGUAUUCAGUAUUUUUAGAGGUUCUAAAACUUGUGACCCCGGGUCUUUGGGAAGUUAUGUUGCUUUGUGAGAUUUUCGGGAUACUUAUACAACUAUCAGUUUAUUUUGGUUUCCUUCACUAUUAAUGGCUUAAAUAAAUGGUUUAUGAGCUCUAAGCUUGGGUUGAGAGUGCAUUUGGUUGGGCUUGCCUAGCCGUUGGGUUGGGCGCCAUCACGACCGGGUUUGGGGCCGCGACACAUCUCAUUUUAUUUUAAAGGAUAAACUUAAAAGAUAACUAUAUUUUCUAUUUUUGUUUUUGUCUCUAAAAGAAAAGAAAAAUUCCUAAUUGAUUAAUAUGAGAACUCGGGUUUCAAGUUCAAGUCCGGGUCCAAACAAAAAGACGAACCUAUUAGUUUAGAAACCCGCUACCUAACUCAAAACCCGAAUUUCAUAUAACAAUUUAACCUUGAAUUGCAUCCUAGAAACAGGCCCAAGAUAACUGAAUAACUGAUUGUUAAAAAUGGCCCAACUUGAGGCCCAGAGCGUAAUUUGCAACAUGCACAAACACACACGAUCCCUAAGCCUGGCACGAGUGCCAUGAAUAGGCCCAAUUGAAUAUCAACUGAAGACAGAGUACCCCAUCGAGCCUCCACAACAUCAAUGAUAUGAGCAAAAUUCAAACUUAUCCUAUUGCUCGUUAUAAGUCCACAUUGAUUUAAUAUCUCCAUACUAAAGAUCUCAGUUUUACCAAUCAAAAUACAGGUGGGUAAUUAUUCUAUUUAGAUUGUUGAGCUCUUAAAUCUUUAUCAAAGGCAACAACUUAAUUGGGGACAGUAAUGCGAUCUAUGAUUUUACUUAACUUUCAUUGGACAAAGUAAUGACCAAAACUUUGAAUGAAUCAGUUAUUGAAACUAUCUCAGACUAACCAUUAUUUUGUUGACACUCCGAUGUUCCUUGAUCUAAAAGUUAGGAUGCAGAACUUAAAAAAAGUGAAUCGUGAACUGAUUUUACAUCACAUGACAUAAAAGGACAUGAACUAUAUGACUUUACACUAACAAUCCAUAGAAGUGCACUUCAACUCUACACAAUAGCAAUUACACUAGUUAAACAGUCCCAAUCUACAUAAUUCACGCAGUCUUAGUUCAAUUCCUAACAGUUAAACACAUGAUCUCAGUUAAAAAAUUACUUCAAUAUAAUACACGUAGGCUAACAUUAACUACAUGUAUUUACAUAGCAUUCAUUGAAUUAAAAUUGAUCUCAAUGAGCUCGGAUCUGGUGAAAACUUCUUAUUUUAACUUCAAUUUCAAAGUUACAUCAAGAUAACUAAGAGAGUGUACCUGGAAAUAAAACAAUGAAGAAGAAAAAUAUCAACGGCAGGUAGCAAACAGCUGGUGACCAGCAAUCAAAACAACCACAAAUCACAAUUGAUCUCAGCCCAGAAACAUUUCAAGGGUUCCAGAAAUAUUGUGAAACCAAAACUAGGUCCGAUGGCAGUCCAAACACAGCACCAAAAUAAAACAAAUAAACUCGAAAAUGCACCCAGGAGAACCUAAAACCUUCAGCUAACUAAAGCUCACUCAAAAAGCAAUUCAACUAGACCCAAAAUCACUCAACACCCUUCUGAUAACUCUCUGAAACCUCAAACAUCAGAUUUUGAAUUAGAGAUGAAGAUCGAAUGCUCAAAAUAUGAAAUUAAACUCAAGAUUUCAAUGGAACAAUCUUUUUUUUCUACUAAGCUUUCUAUUAUUUUUUUUUGUUUUUUCUAUAUGAAGAAGUUGGGAUCUAAAGGAGUUUUAGAUCUGAAUUUUUGAAAUCCAAAUCUGGAAGUUUUGAAGAGUAUUCUUGGGGUGAUUUUGGGCUGCCCAGCUUGUUGAUUAAGGCACUAAAAGGUGCCUUAUAUAGGCAAAAAUAAGGGGCAACCCUCAGAUUUUCAGUUUUUGACGAGGCCAAUAUGAAUAGGAUUUUCCUACUCGUGCUUAGUCAAAUUCUAAUAUAGUUUAAGAUAUCAUCCCACAGAGAUUGAUAAAUCUAGCCACAAACUUAUAAUAUUCUUACUACUAUUUUAGAGAACCAAAUUGAUGAAGUUUUGUUUGUUGAAGAUCUAAAUUGCUUAAGUUGAAACAAAAUAUCUUUCGAAAGAUUUAUAUUUAAAUAGAGUUGGGAAUCAUUGAAUUCACUCGAUAGCGUGAUAAUAAAAUCUUAGGUUCUACAUGUAUUUCUCUUAGGAAUAACUAUAUUGCUAAUACAAUUAUAUUUGAUCACCAAUAAAUAAUCAAUUAAUAAUACUCCGUGAGAAUUAUGUAAAUCAAUUGACAUACACAAUUAUAUUUGUUCACCAAGAAAUAAUCAAUUAAUAACACUCCGUGAGAAUUAUGUAAAUCAAUUGAUCUAUGAGUCGUGACGAUUAAACUGAAAUAAUUUUCUUGCAUGAAUUGUGCUACAAGAUAGUAAAAACCUCUUGCGAUUACUUUUUAAUUAAAUCAAUAAUCUUGCCAAUUAUAACUCCUCCGUGAGAAUUAGAAUGGAAGUAAGCAAGAUUACAGACUUGGAAUGAUAGCUUAAAAAGAAUUACUCUCACUCUAUUAUUUUACCCAAUAAAUAUCGUAUAUUGAUUUUGCUUCGUGAGAACUACAAAAUUGACAUACAACUAACUUUGGAGAAUAAAUAGAUAGAAGUGAUAAUAAUUAAUUAAAAUUAACAUUCCAUCACAAAAUAGCAAUAUAAUUAGAAAGUUUCAGGUCAAGCAUGUAGUAAAAUUGAGAUUAAUAUUAUAACAAUAUCGAGCUUCAUCAACUAUCCCAACAAAAAAGAUUACUCGAUUAUGGAGUACUUAAAUCUCACAAAGAAAGGAAUUCUUAAAAUAAUAUCAACACUCUUAGAAAUUUCCCCAAAAGACUACAAGAUAAAGUGAAAUAUAUAAAGAAAGAAGUAAAGACUAAAUCUAAAGAAAAGUUAUUUUGCUAGGUACGUACGAUCUUCAUCCUCCCUUUCAAUACAAAUAUGACAUCCUUUUUAUAGGAAUCAAAUCUCAUAAGGUGCCACGAUGCCUCGUGGUUCUUUUGUCUGUCGUGCUUCUAUUGCCAUGAUGCGUCGUGAUAUCUUUUUAUUACUUUAUUUGCUUUAUCAUGAUAUUUGUAAUUCCUGCAAAAUACUAUUAGAAAAUACAAAUAAUUGACAUACACAGAGAGAUAUAUAUUAUUUAAAAAAAUUAUUUUUAAGUAUAUAAUAUAUGAAUACUUAUAUCCAUCAAACUCCCCCUCACUUGAAUUUUUGCUCAUCCUCGAGGUAGUAAUUUUAUUAAUAAUUGUUGUUUCUUGUAGAGUAGAAAAGUAAAAAAAAUAAAAUUUCACAUAAAAUUCAAAACCUAUAAGUUUUUCAAGUCGUCAAACCUUUACCUUGUUUCUAUUUCUGCUUUUGUUUGCCAAAAACUUUCAACUCCUCUUUUGAGAUUGAUAACAUUAUGAUUACAAUUUCGAGUUUUUCAAAUUUUGUCCAUAGGCUUUCCCUUCAUGUCAGUGUCCACUAAUGUAGAAUCAAAACUAAUUUUAAAAUUAUUUUAGGACUUUUUCAGGCUUGCAAUAAUAGGUUUAAUGUUGGUAAGGUAAAAGAAUAUAUUUGUAGUGACUUUGUUCCAUCCAGCUUUAUUAUGAGAGCAGAUUAUUUUUACCAAAGUAACUAUGUACAAGUCAACACAAGAUAUUAACUCUAGAACGAUUAUAUUAUCAAAGUAACUAUGUACAACUCAGCAAAAGAAAAUAACUUUAGAGAUUGGGAUAAAGGUCCCGAUCUCCAAUUUCAUAAUUAAUAUCACUUAAGUCAUCAUUUCUCUCGAUAGAUUUCUUAAAUUCAAGCCUCUUGAACCAAUAAUUUAAUUUACAGGUAUAUACACCUUGUUUUCCUCUUCUGUUUUUUAAGAGCGAAAUAGAUCAUUUACUCUAUAAGUAUUCCUUCAUCGCUUGUUUUAAUAAUCAUUUUUACUCUAUAAGUGACAACACAUGUUUUUAUAUGCAAUAUACUGACUAAUUUAAGACUUUAUUAGUCAUUUAGUCCUUGUUUAAAAAUAAACCAACAAAUUUACCUGUGCUAACAUUUUGAAUUGAUUCAUUAAAUGGUUAAUCAACCAGUUACUUGGGCAUGCCGAUCACCAUGGAGUUACUCCUGCACAUGUGACUCUGUUUUUGUAGAGGCCUUCAUGAUAUGUUAUGGUUGUACAAUAACCUGGAUAUUGACCAGAUAAAUUGAUUAAGCAUUUAAUUACCCAAAUCUAUGUCGGGAUUAUGAGGCUCCACUGCUUCUCCCUCAAUGGCUACGGAUUUUGUAUCUUAGUUCUGAGUUUAACGUUGUCAGCUCGACUUAUUAAUUGUAGAAUUCAUCACUCUAUCAAAGUAACUGAUGGAUGUUGUUCAAAAUGUCUUCCACGGUACAAUUUUAGCCGGUGACCAAAUACCUUAAACUUGUCUCCUCCUUUUUUCUGAAUUUCUAUUGUCCCGUAUGGAGUAACGCCUGUAACAUUGUAAGGACCUGUCCACCUGGAUUUUAAUUUUCCUGGAAAUAACCUGAGUCGGCUAUUGUAAAGAAGUACUUGAUCUCCAAUUUUAAAACUCUUUGGUUGGAUCAACUUGUCAUGCAAUAUUUUUGUUUUUUCUUUAAAAUUUUUAGCAUUUUCAUAGGCUCCCAACCUCAGUUCUUCCAAUUCAUUAACCUGAAUAAAUCACUUUUUACCAGCAGAGGUUAAAUCAAAGUUUAAUGCUUUCAAUGCCCAAAAAGCUUUAUGUUCUAACUCUACAGGCAAAUGACAAGCUUUUACAAAGACUAAUCUAUAUGGAGAUGUUCCAAUUGGCAUUUUGAAGGCCGUAUGGUACGCCCAUAGUGCAUCAUCUAAUUUUAAAGCCCAGUCUUUUCUUGAGAUUCCAACCGUUUUUUCAAGAAUUCUUUUUAGCUCGCAGUUUGAAACCUUAACUCGCCCUUGAGUUUGAGCAUGAUAUGGUGUUCCGGUUUUGUGAGUCACAUUAUAUUUUGACAGUAAAGCAGAAAAUUGUCUAUUGAUAAAAUGAGUUCCUUGAUCGCUAAUAAUAACUCGCGGUGUGCCAAAUCUAGUAAAAAUAUUUUUUCUAAGAAAAUUGCACAUUGUACGAGCAUUAUUCUUUCUUGUGGGGAUGGCUUCAAUCGAUUUUGACACAUAAUCCACAUGUUGUACGAGCAUCAUUCUUUCUUGUGGGUAUGGCUUCAACCCAUUUUGACACAUAAUCCAUAGCCACAAGAAUAUAUUCAAAAGAGUGAGAAGAAGGAAAAGGACCCAAUAAAUCUAUUUCCUAAACAGCAAAUAUUUCACAUACCUGUAUUGAUUGCAGUGACAUCUCAUCUCUCUUGGUGAUAUUACCUUCUCUGACACCUGUCACAUUGUGCUACAUAUGCUCGGGAAUCUUUAAAGAGUGUGGUCCAGAAGAAUCCGGCUUCUAAAAUUUUAAAAGCUGUUCGAUUUGCUGCAUAAUGUCCUCCAAUUGCUCCAUCAUGACAGUGAUAUAGAAUUUUAUUCAUCUCUUCUUCAGGUACACACCUUCUAAUGAUAUUAUCUACACAAUUUUUGAAUAAGUAAAGUUCAUCCCACAGAUAAUACUUUACAUCAGAUAUAAACUUUUUCCUUUGUUGAUAAGAAAAAUCUUGCGGUAUCCACUUUCCAACCAAGUAAUUCGCGAUAUCUGCAAACUAGGGUGGUUGAAUCACAAUUGUGUUAACUGAAAAAAUAUGUUCAUCAGGAAAUUCUUCUUUUAUCUCAUUAAAAUCAAGGGGAGGGGGGGGUUUUCUAAUCUAGACAAAUGGUCAGCUACUUGGUUCUCUAUCCCUUUCUUGUCCUUUAUCUCAAGGUCAAAUUCUUGCAUAAGUAAAAUCCAUCUUAAUAAUCUAGGUCGAGCAUCUUUCUUAGCUAAGAGGUAUUUUAAAGAUGCAUGAUCAGUGAAAACAAUUACCUUUAUUCCUAUCAAAUAGGAACGAAAUUUAUCAAAAGCAAACACUACUGCUAGUAACUCUUUUUCUGUCGUGGCAUAAUUCACUUGGGUCUCACUCAAUGUCCUACUAGCAUAGUAAAUAGGACGGAAUAUCCUAUAUUUUCUUUGGCCUAAAACCGCUCCAACCAUUGUAUCACUAGCAUCACACAUGACCUCAAAAGGUUGGUUCCAAUCAGGGGACACAACUACAAGUGCAGUUAACUUUUUAUUAAGGGUCUCAAACGCUUUCACACAUUCACCUUAAAAUAAAACUUAAUGUCUUUCAUCAAGAGGUUAGUCAGCGGUUUUGAAAUCUUUAAGAAAUAUUUUAUGACUCGUCUCUAAACACCUGCAUGGCCUAGAAAGCUCCUAAUGUCUUUCACGGUUGUGGAAGGGGGUAAUCCCGCUAUAAGAUUAAUUUUUGCCUUAUCAAUUACCCUUUAGCAGUGAUUUUAUGUCCUAAAACAAUUCCUUCUGUAAUCAUAAAAUGACAUUUUUCCCAAUUAAGAACUAAGUUUGUUUCUUCACAUCUUUUAAGAACUAGGUCAAGUGGUUUAGACAAUCCUUAUAUGUUUUGCCAAAUAGUGUAAAAUCAUCCAUAAAAUUUUCAAUAAAUUUGUCAGUCAUGUCAGCAAAAAUUGCCGACAUGCAACACUGAAAUGUAGCAGAGGCGUUGCACAGACCAAAUGAUAUUCUCCUAUAGGCAUAUAUUCUAUGAGGGCAUGCGAAGGUUGUCUUAUCUUGAUCUUCUGGUGCAAUUGGUAUCUGAUUAUAUCCUGCUUCCAACAGCUUUACGAUCUCUUUCUUCACUACUUCCUGCAUUGCUGGAUUCAAUCUUCUUUGCGGCUGGCUGAUUAUAUCCUGAAUAACCAUCAAGAAAAUAGUAAAAUCCAUAUCCUGCAAUUCUUUCCAACAUUUGAUAAUUAAAUGGCAAAGGAAAAUGAUCUUUUCUAGUGACAUCAUUGAGACGUCUGUAAUCAAUACAAACUUUCCAUCUUGUAACAGUCCUGGUAGGUAUGAGAUCAUUAUUUUUAUUUUUUAUAACCGUCAUACCUCCUUUCUUUGGUACUACCUGAAAGGGACUUACCUACGGGCUAUCAGAAAUGGGGUACAUAAUACAUGCUGCCAACAGCUUUACGAUCUCUUUCUUCACUACUUCUUGCAUUGCUGGAUUCAAUCUUCUUUGCGGCUGAACUAUUGGCUUGUAACUAUCCUCCAUGAGGAUUAUAUGUGUUCAAAUAGCCGGACUAAUCCCUUUAGUAUCUUCUACAGUCCACCCCAAGGCUCCUUUGUGUGCUUUCAAUACCUUAAUCAAACUAGUUUCUUGUUCUGCAGUAAGAGAAGAAGAAAUAAUUACUGGAAAUAAUUCUUUCUCAAGAUAUACAUAUUUCAAAUUAGAAGGGAGAGUUUUGAGUUCAAUUUUUGAUUGAACUUCUUCGGAUGUCAUCUCUUCUUCCUCUGAAUCUUUGUCAAAUAUUUCAGCUUCACUUCUGAUUGUGAGAUCAUCGUCAUGUGUGGUGCCUGAUUUGAUCAAGCAUCUUUCCAAUAUUUCAGCUUUACUUCUGAUUGUGGUGUCCUGAUUUGAUCAAGCAUCUAUCUGGAAUUAAUUGAUCAUCUUUGAAUUCAUCUUUAAGAUAACUAAUCAUGUCAAUUGAAAAACAUAAAGAUGAUGCUUCAUCUCCUGAAUAUCUUAGUAUCUUUUGCAUAUCAAAGAUGACUCUCUCUUUAUCAACUCUCAAAAUUAGUUGUCCUUGAUGAACAUCUAUAAUUGCUCUUCCUGUAGCAAGAAAUGGUCUACCUAAUAUUAUUGGUUCAUUAGGACAUUCUUUCAUUUCAAGAACUAUAAAAUCUACAUGGAAAAUAAACUUAUCUACUCUAAUUAGGACAUUCUUUCAUUUCAAUCACUAUAAAAUAUACAGGGAAAAAAAACUUAUCUACUUUUACGAGUACAUUUUCAUAUUCCCUUAGGUUUCUUAGUACUUUGAUCUGCAAACUAAAAAGAAACACUUGUGUCUUUUAUUUCACCAAGAUCUAACUUUUUAAAGAUAGAAAAUGACAUUAAAUUUAUUGAAGCUCCAUAAUCAAAAAGUGGUUUUUCAAAAUAUACUUCUCCCAAAGUACAUAGAAAUUGUAAAACUGCCUGGACCACCAAGUUUUUGUGGUAGCUUAUUUUGAAGAUUUUUCAAUAUUUUUUUCUUCUUUUUUCUUGACUUCAUUCUUUUCAGAUGGUUCAGAGGGUAUUUCAACAUUCUUACCAUUGUUUACCUGUUGUUCUGACUGGUCUACAUAGGGUUCAUCAAGCUCCUUACCCGACCGUAAGGCGAUGUCUUUAAGGUGCUCUUUUGGAUAACUGGUCUGCAUAGGGUUCAUCAAGCUCCUUACCUGACCGUAAGGUUGAUGGCCUUAAGGUGCUCUUUUGGAUUUUUCUAUGUAUUGGUUGGUAAGGGACCUUGAAUCUUUUCUGAAACAAGAGCUGUCAAUUGGCUCAACUGUAUUUUAAGAUUUUUGAGGGAUGAAUUUUGGCUCUCCAUCUUUUCAUCGGUGACCUUAAUAUACUUAUAUAGAAGAUCAUCAAGACUUGAAUGAACUUGUUGAGACCUUUGUUGAUAGGGCCCUGCUUGUAGAUAAAGUCUAAAGUUUGAUUGACCAUGGUUUGGAUUCUGGUAUCCGGGUGGACCCUGUAUUUGUUGCUUCUGGAAGAUUUGAGAGUUCUCUGCACCAUUUGGAUUGCUCCAUUGAAAUCCUGGAUGUGUCUGUGCCAUUGGACUUCCAAAAGGAUACUGAUUGUAACUGAUGACAUUGACAUGGUCAUCAUUGUGAUUGGUUGCUUGACAUUCAUGAUUCUGAUGAUUUCCUCCACAAAUGUCACAAGCCUCAGAUUGACUUGGUUGUUGUGUAUUCACCUGAAAAGUCUCAAACUUUUGUGCCAAAGAAACAAUUUGCUGCGUUAGUGUAUUUAAAUCAUCAACCUGAUUUAUUGUAGCAGCCAUCUUGAUAAAUUAUACGCUCAGAUGGCCAUUGGAUGGAAUUCUCAGAAAUUUCAUUCAAUAAUUGCAAUGCUUCCUCUGUUGUUUUCCCAUUACUGAACCUCCUGCGGCUGCAUCUAUCACAUUUCUAGAAGAGUGUUUUAGCCCAUGAUAAAAAAUAUACAACUGCAUAUGUUCAGGAAUAUCGUGGUGUGGACAUUUUCUUAACAUUGCUUUAACCUUUCCCAAGCUUGAUAAACCGACUAUGCGCCAGUCUGCAAGAUAAUAGAUAUGUCUUGUCUUAACUUUGUGGUUUUAGUAGGGAAAAAAUAUUUAUUUAAAAUUUUUUGAGUCAUUUGGUCUCAUGUGGUAAUUGAUCCUUGACGCAAACUUCGCAACCAAGUCUUAGCAUCUCAUUUUAAAGAAAAAGGAAAUAACCUUAACUUAAUUGCUUUAGGGGAUACUCCAUACUUAGCAGUUUCAACUAGUUCUAGAAAAUCAAUUAGAUGACUAUGUGGAUAUUCACUUGAAUCUCCAGUGAAGAUACAAGAUUGUUGGAUCGUUUGAAUCAGGCAAGUCCUGAUUUCAAAGUUGUUGGCUACCACUAGGGGCUUCUUGACACUAGAUUCACAGUUGAAGUGGUCAAGUCUAGCAUAAUCCCUUAGGAUUCUGUUUGCUGGUCUUGGCGCCACUUCAUCAAAUUGAUCCUCUAAAUGGACUGGUGGUGGCACUUUGUGUUGAGUGAUAUCUUCUACUCCUUGGUUUUCCAUUCCUUCACAAGCUAUACUCUGAGAAGAUGAUGUUUGUUCUUUCCUGCGUAAAUGAAGAGAUCUUUCAAUUUCACGAUUAUAAUGUGCCAACUCUUUUGUAGAAGAGCGGGUCAUAAACUAAGUGAUUUUUUUUGUUUAAAAUAAGAUUUUUUUAAUGACAAUUAAACUUAAUUCCUACAAUAACAGUGUCACUAAAAGAACAUAAUAAAAGAAAAGUAGCAGUAGUGAAUAGUACACUUAGUAAUAAUAAUUAUCUAUAUUAAAGGAAAAGAUAGUAUAAACAGUAUAUUAUGAUGAAAGUGCUAUGACAUGAAGUUGCUCACAAUAUCAUAAGAGUAAUAGAUAAACACAUUAAUUAUAUUUACACAUAUUAAUAAUAAAAACAACAGGUAAUGGUUACAACAAUGAGAAAGAAGGAAAAACAUUUUUAAUUACUACGAAAAAUGUUAGAAUGGAUAUAAUAGUAAUAGUUAUAGAAAUAUUUAGCAGGUGAUGAUAAUACNNNNNNNNNNNNNNNNNNNNNNNNNNNNNNNNNNNNNNNNNNNNNNNNNNNNNNNNNNNNNNNNNNAAUACUAACAAAAAUAAGGAUACCAAUACAUAUAAUAAUAAAUUCUCAAAUUAGUAAUAAAAUAUUUAAUUUGAAGUAGACUUAUGCCAAUCCCCGGCAUCGGCGCCAAAAAUUUGACGAGGCCAAUGUGUAUAGGAUUUUCCUGCUCGUGCUUAGUCAAAUUCUAAUAUAGUUUAAGAUAUUGUCCCACAAAGAUUGGAAAAUCUAGCUAUAAACUUACAAUAUUCUUACUACUAUUUUAGAGAACCAAGUUGAUGAAGUUUUGUUUGUUGAAAAUCUAAAUUGCUUAAGUUGAAACAAAAUAUCUUUCGAAAGAUUUAUAUUAAAAUAGAGUUGGGAAUCAUUGAAUUCACUCGAUAGCGUGAUAAUAAUAAAAUCUUAGGUUCUACAUGUAUUUCUCUUAGGAAUAACUAUUUAUUGCUAAUACAAUUAUAUUUGCUCACCAGGAAAUAAUCAAUUAAUAACACUCUGUGAGAUUAUGUAAAUCAAUUGAUAUAUGACUCGUGACGAUUAAACUGAAAUAAUUUUCUUGCCUGAAUGUUCACCAAGAAAUAAUCAAUUAAUAACACUCCGUGAGAAUUAUGUACAUCAAUUGAUAUAUGACUCGUGAAGAUUAAACUGAAAUAAUUUUCUUGCCUGAAUUGUGCUAUAAGAUAGUAAAAACCUCUUGCAAUUACUUUUUACAAAAAAUCAAUAAUCUUGCCAACUACAACUUCUCCAUGAGAAUUAGAAUGGAAGUAAGCAAGAUUACAAACUUGGAAUGAUAGCUUAAAAAGAAUUACUCUCACUCUAUUAUUUUAAUCUUAAAAAUCAAUAAUCUUGCCAACUACAACUCCUCCGUGAUAAUUAGAAUGGAAGUAAGCAAGAUUACAGCCUUGGAAUAAUAACUUAAAAAGAAUUACUCUCACUCUAUUAUUUUACCCAAUAGAUAUCGUAUAUUGAUUUUGCUUCGUGAGAAUUACAAAAUUGACAUACAACUAACUUUGAAGAAUAAAUAGAUAGAAGUGAUAAUAAUUAACUAAAACUAACAUUCCAACACAAUAUAGAAAUAUAAUUAGAAAGUUUCAGGUCAAGCAUGUAGUAAAAUUGAGAUUAAUAUUAUAACGAUAUCGAGCUUCAUCAACUAUCUCUACAAAAGAGAUUACUCCGUUAUGGAGUAUUUAAUCUCACAAAGAAAAGAAUUCUUAAAAUAAUAUCAACACUCUUAGAAAAUUCCUAAAGACUACAAGAUAAAGUAAAAUGAAAGGAAUUCUUAAAAUAAUAUCAACACUCUUAGAAAUUCCCUCCAAAGACUACAAGAUAAAGUGAAAUAUAUAACGAAAAAAGUAAAGACUAAAUCUAGAGAAAAGUUAUUUUGCUAGGUACGUAUGAUCUUCCUCCCUCCCUUUCUAUAAAAAGGAUGUCAUAUUUUUAUUGAAAGGGAGGGAGGAAGAUCAUACGUACCUAGCAAAAUAACUUUUCUCUAGAUUUAGUCUUUACAAAAUAUGACAUCCUUUUUAUAGGAAUCAAAUCUCAUAAGGUGCCAUGAUGCCUCGUGGUUCUUUUGCCAUGAUGCCCGUGCUUCUAUUGCCAUGAUCGUCGUGAUCUCUUUUUAUUCCUUUAUUUGCUUUAUCAUGAUAUUUGCAAUUCCUGCAAAAUGCUAUUAGAAAAUACAGAUAAUUGACACACACACACAUAUUAUUUAAAAUAAUUUAUUUUUAAGUAUAUAAUAUAUGAAUAUUUUAUAUCCAUCAGUUUUGUAUUACAUCCUUUCCUAAUUUUCGUUUUUGCUUAGGUAUCCCAAGAAAACUGACUUGUUUCCAAAGUUAUACCACCAAACUUUAUAGAAUUCUAAAGUGAACCCCAUCUAGAAUGUCCUAGAGGACUCCAUUCAGAUUUUAAAAGAUCCCCUACCCUUGUAUUACCCCAAUUACCUCUCUUGGUAAACUAAAAUUACUAACUAUGACCAAACAGUUUCCUAAAAUUCUAAUUUACCAAUUAUUGAAGAACAGACAUUGUUUUAUCUGUUGUGAACUCCAAAUUAACUACCAAUUACCAAAAGAACACUGAUGAAUGAUUCACUUUAUACCAAACCAAAUUAUAUUAUCAGAGGAAAGAAUACUAACACAAUCUCACUAAUAAGAACAAACAACAAACAGAACCAUAAAAGAACAGAAUCGAACAGCAAAAAUCACCUAACAAUCAUUUAACAAAAUCUAAGCUGAAUAGCUCAAAGACAAAUGUAAAAUGCGAAGCUAAUAUAUAAAUGGAAAACCUAGGCUGAAUUGUUAAAUAAUUAACACUAAUAUGCCGGAAACUGAUUCAAUUAUUAGAACGACCUAAUUAAACUAAGCGAUUAAACCAAGCAGAAAUGGUAAACGAAUUUGAACCCAAUAGGAAUUCGGAGAGAGUAAGAAGACGACAGAAAUGGAGGGGGGAUAAUAGAGGGAAAAAGACAAACAACUAUAAACACAAAAUAUAAAGAAAACUUACCAUCCUAAGAGUUCGAUUUCAAAAAUUCCAAGAAAAAGCACAGAAUCCUAACAUCGCGAGUUUCGGUUCUUCAUAUUCGACUUUUGAGGGAUUUGACUGGCAUUCGAGAGAGGGGGAGGAUAGAUACAAGGCGAGGGGGUCUGGUGGUUAAGCGGUACCAAUUUGAGGGUGAUAUAAGGAAUUUAGGGGUUCUGGUCAUGAAUUUCGAACAAAUAUUCGAGAAGAUGGGCACUAAUUCGAGGAAAACUGAGGUGAGAUAUAGAGAGAGGAAGGGGAAAGGAGCAUGGGGUGUGAUUUUGGAGUGGUUUGGAGCUUCGCCGCCGUUGUGGGCGAUUUCCGGCGGCAGUAGACGGUGGUGCAGCAGGGGGUACGAGGAAGAUGAAGAAUGUCGUUUAGGCUUAUGGGAUUUUCGAACAAUUAAAUUAAAAUGUAAUGCCCACUGGUGACCGUUGGAUCA